rnacentral:rRNA from 1 species
GAUAAACUCUGGCGGCGUGCCUAAUACAUGCAAGUCGAGCGAACAGACGAGGAGCUUGCUCCUCUGACGUUAGCGGCGGACGGGUUAGUAACACGUGGAUAACCUACCUAUAAGACUGGGAUAACUUCGGGAAACCGGAGCUAAUACCGGAUAAUAUAUUGAACCGCAUGGUUCAAUAGUGAAAGACGGUUUUGCUGUCACUUAUAGAUGGAUCCGCGCCGCAUUAGCUAGUUGGUAAGGUAACGGCUUACCAAGGCAACGAUGCGUAGCCGACCUGAGAGGGUGAUCGGCCACACUGGAACUGAGACACGGUCCAGACUCCUACGGGAGGCAGCAGUAGGGAAUCUUCCGCAAUGGGCGAAAGCUUGACGGAGCAACGCCGAGUGAGUGAUGAAGGUCUUCGGAUCGUAAAACUCUGUUAUUAGGGAAGAACAAAUGUGUAAGUAACUAUGCACGUCUUGACGGUACCUAAUCAGAAAGCCACGGCUAACUACGUG